CCUACGGGGUGCUGCAGUGGGGAAUAUUGGACAAUGGGCGAAAGCCUGAUCCAGCCAUGCCGCGUGUGUGAAGAAGGCCUUCGGGUUGUAAAGCACUUUCAGUGGGGAAGAAAGCCUUGGGGCUAAUACCCUCGAGGAAGGACAUCACCCACAGAAGAAGCACCGGCUAACUCCGUGCCAGCAGCCGCGGUAAUACGGAGGGUGCGAGCGUUAAUCGGAAUUACUGGGCGUAAAGCGCGCGUAGGCGGUCUGAUAAGCCGGUUGUGAAAGCCCCGGGCUCAACCUGGGAACGGCAUCCGGAACUGUCAGGCUAGAGUGCAGGAGAGGAAGGUAGAAUUCCCGGUGUAGCGGUGAAAUGCGUAGAGAUCGGGAGGAAUACCAGUGGCGAAGGCGGCCUUCUGGACUGACACUGACGCUGAGGUGCGAAAGCGUGGGUAGCAAACAGGAUUAGAUCCCUAGUAGU
rnacentral:rRNA from 1 species